CGCUAGGACGAACGCUGGCGGCGUGCCUAACACAUGCAAGUCGAGCGGAGUUAACAAGAGGAAGUUUCGGAUGGAAUUUGUAAUUUAGCGGCGGACGGGUGAGUAACGCGUGAGCGACCAACCUUGCACAGGGGGAUAACGGACCGAAAGGUUCACUAAUACCGCAUGAGACCACGGUGUUGCAUGACACAGAGGUCAAAGGAGCAAUCCGGUGCAAGGACGGGCUCGCGUCCGAGUUAGGUAGUUGGUGGGGUAAUCGGCCCCAACCAAGCCUAUGAUCGGUAGCCGACCUGAGGAGGGUGAUCGGCCACAUUGGAACUGAGAUACGGUACCAAACUCCGUACGGGAGGCAGCAGGUGGGGAAUUAGUUGGGCAAGUGGGGGAAAAACCCCCUGACCCAGCAACGCCGCGUGAAGGAAGAAGGUUUUCGGAUUGUAAACUUCUGUCCUUGGUGAAGAGAAGAAGACGGUAGCCAAGGAGGAAGCCCCGGCUAACUACGUGCCAGCCGCAGC
rnacentral:rRNA from 1 species